rnacentral:lncRNA from 1 species
AUAUAUAUAUAUAUAUACUACAACACAAUUACCUUUUAGCGGCAAUUAUUAAACGACCAUUAUUAUUCAUUAUUAUCUUAUAUCUGACGGCAAUUAUUUUAAACUAUAUUUUUUAUCAAUUAAUAAUUUUACACUAAAUAUAUAUGUUUUAGCCUAAUACAACCUAAUUCUAACAGAAUUAAUCCUAACCCUAACCAAACCCACUCCACCCAACCGCAACCCUACCCAACGAACGCCUCAGCCUCGACCUAUUAUGUCCCUUCCCUCUCUACCUCUUCAAGCUCGAGCUCUCCCCUCUCUUUCACCUCUACUCAUCCUCUUCUCCCUCUUCCUUCGCGUCUUUUCCAAGCUUCGAUCUUCUCGGCCUCGCGUACUUCGAGGAGAUCCGCCGCCGCCUGCGUCGCCCUCGGCCUCCUCCU